AACGAACGCUGGCGGCAGGCUUAACACAUGCAAGUCGAGCGCCCCGCAAGGGGAGCGGCAGACGGGUGAGUAACGCGUGGGAAUCUACCCAUCUCUACGGAAUAACGCAUGGAAACGUGUGCUAAUACCGUAUACGUCCUUCGGGAGAAAGAUUUAUCGGAGAGGGAUGAGCCCGCGUUGGAUUAGGUAGUUGGCGGGGUAAAGGCCUACCAAGGCGACGAUCCAUAGCUGGUCUGAGAGGAUGAUCAGCCACACUGGGACUGAGACACGGCCCAGACUCCUACGGGAGGCAGCAGUGGGGAAUAUUGGACAAUGGGCGCAAGCCUGAUCCAGCCAUGCCGCGUGAGUGAUGAAGGCCCUAGGGUUGUAAAGCUCUUUCACCGGUGAAGAUAAUGACGGUAACCGGAGAAGAAGCCCCGGCUAACUUCGUGCCAGCCGCCGCGGUAAAAC
rnacentral:rRNA from 1 species